rnacentral:rRNA from 1 species
GGGUUGUGAGGUUAAGCGACUAAGCGUACACGGUGGAUGCCCUGGCAGUCAGAGGCGAUGAAGGGCGUGCUAAUCUGCGAUAAGCGCCGGUAAGGUGAUAUGAACCGUUAUAACCGGCGAUACCCGAAUGGGGAAACCCAGUGUGAUUCGUCACACUAUCAUUAACUGAAUCCAUAGGUUAAUGAGGCGAACCGGGGGAACUGAAACAUCUAAGUACCCCGAGGAAAAGAAAUCAACCGAGAUUCCCCCAGUAGCGGCGAGCGAACGGGGAGGAGCCCAGAGCCUGAAUCAGCAUGUGUGUUAGUGGAAGCGUCUGGAAAGGUGCGCGAUACAGGGUGACAGCCCCGUACACAAAAGCGCAUGUGCUGUGAGCUCGAUGAGUAGGGCGGGACACGUGGUAUCCUGUCUGAAUAUGGGGGGACCAUCCUCCAAGGCUAAAUACUCCUGACUGACCGAUAGUGAACCAGUACCGUGAGGGAAAGGCGAAAAGAACCCCGGCGAGGGGAGUGAAAAAGAACCUGAAACCGUGUACGUACAAGCAGUGGGAGCACCCUUCGGGGUGUGACUGCG